rnacentral:rRNA from 1 species
UACGUAGGGUGCAAGCGUUGUCCGGAAUUAUUGGGCGUAAAGAGCUCGUAGGCGGUUUGUCGCGUUGUUCGUGAAAACCGGGGGCUUAACCCUCGGCGUGCGGGCGAUACGGGCAGACUUGAGUACUGCAGGGGAGACUGGAAUUCCUGGUGUAGCGGUGGAAUGCGCAGAUAUCAGGAGGAACACCGGUGGCGAAGGCGGGUCUCUGGGCAGUAACUGACGCUGAGGAGCGAAAGCGUGGGGAGCGAACAGG